UUUGAUCCUGGCUCAGAACGAACGCUGGCGGCAGGCUUAACACAUGCAAGUCGAGCGCACCUUCGGGUGAGCGGCGGACGGGUUAGUAACGCGUGGGAACAUACCCUUUGGUACGGAAUAGCCUCUGGAAACGGAGAGUAAUACCGUAUGAGCCCUUCGGGGGAAAGAUUUAUCGCCAAAGGAUUGGCCCGCGUUAGAUUAGGUAGUUGGUGGGGUAAUGGCCUACCAAGCCUACGAUCUAUAGCUGGUUUUAGAGGAUGAUCAGCAACACUGGGACUGAGACACGGCCCAGACUCCUACGGGAGGCAGCAGUGGGGAAUCUUGGACAAUGGGGGCAACCCUGAUCCAGCCAUGCCGCGUGAGUGAUGAAGGCCUUAGGGUCGUAAAGCUCUUUCGCCUGUGAAGAUAAUGACGGUAGCAGGUAAAGAAACCCCGGCUAA
rnacentral:rRNA from 1 species